rnacentral:lncRNA from 1 species
UUGGGAGCCUUCCAGCGCGGCAGGCAUGUGAUCGGUGGGGGCGGGGGAAGCGGGCGGCUCGCCCGCACCGAAACCGGCGUUGGCCGCGGUACACCUGGCCUGCGGACACCCGGCGACGGCAGGCAGCGGCCACCCGGCACAGACGUCCCGCCCCGCGGCGCGGCCGCACCCGGCAGCGGAUUUUAGGCAUUCCCCUCUGCAGGCCUAACGCGAGUGGCGUGUUACGAGACAGGCAACGAGAGCAGAUCGCUGCUGUUCCACUGCUAGACAGACGCGCGUACACCUGUGGCAACAAACAGAAGAAUCCUGCCCUGUACGUCACAGCGAUCCUCCUUUACCACCUGCUCCGCCACCCACUUCCCUAUCACCCGCUUCCUGGGCAAUGCGUCCUUUACCCGGACCUAAGGGAACACCAGAGGCUGCGCAGGGAGCUGCUCCCAAGCCCUUACAAAGGCACGUGCCCAAGCUUAACUGCGUACUUAGUUGCAGGCAUCUUCGCAAAGGGCUGUAAAAUUAAAUCUGAAAGCAAAGUGGUGGAUGAAGACAUUCUGACAGAUAUCCUUCAAGAGAGUGAGUAA